rnacentral:ncRNA from 1 species
AUAACGUACGAUCUUCGAUCUUGUUUCCCUAAAGCUGAAGGCCAUGGGAAGCAAGACGAUGGGUUAAUAUCGACCCCGAGGGUAAAAGGGAAAACCCUUGUACCUCCCGUAUUCGGAAAGAAGAUUUUAUUGGCAGGGU